GACGAACGCUGGCGGCGUGCCUAAUACAUGCAAGUCGAACGGUCUUUUCUAUGGAAGCUUGCUUCCACUGAGAAGAUAGUGGCGAACGGGUGAGUAACACGUGGGUAACCUGCCCAUAAGAGGGGGAUAACAUCCGGAAACGGGUGCUAAUACCGAAUAGGUGUCUUGAUCGCAUGAUCGAGAAAGGAAAGACGGCCUUUGUGCUGUCGCUUAUGGAUGGACCCGCGGCGUAUUAGUUAGUUGGUGAGGGAACGGCUCACCAAGACGAUGAUACGUAGCCGACCUGAGAGGGUGAUCGGCCACAUUGGGACUGAGACACGGCCCAAACUCCUACGGGAGGCAGCAGUAGGGAAUCUUCCGCAAUGGACGAAAGUCUGACGGAGCAACGCCGCGUGAGUGAAGAAGGUUUUCGGAUCGUAAAACUCUGUUGUCAGAGAAGAACAAGUCGGAGAGUAACUGCUCCGGCCUUGACGGUAUCUGACCAGAAAGCCACGGCUAACUACGUGCCAGCCGCCGCCGUAAAAC
rnacentral:rRNA from 1 species